rnacentral:rRNA from 1 species
CCCUUAGAUGUUCUGGGCCGCACGCGCGCUACACUGAUGCAAUCAACGAGUUUACAACCUUGGCCGAGAGGCCUGGGUAAUCUUUUUAAACUGCAUCGUGAUGGGGAUAGAUUGUUGCAAUUAUUAAUCUUCAACGAGGAAUUCCUAGUAAACGCGAGUCAUCAGCUCGCAUUGAUUACGUCCCUGCCCUUUGUACACACCGCCCGUCGCACCUACCGAUUGAAUGGUCCGGUGAAAUCUCAGGACCGCUGCAAUGUACCCGUUCGCGGGGACGCUGCGGUGGGAAUUUGCUUAAACCUUACCAUUUAGAGGAAGGUGAAGUCGUAACA